rnacentral:rRNA from 1 species
CUAAACCUAUUUACAAUGGCGGCAUUUCAUCUUAUUAGAGGAACCUGUUUUUUAAUCGAUAAUCCACGUUCACUUUCACUUAAAUUAAAAAUUUAUAUAUCGCCAUCUCAAAACUAAUCUAAUAAUAAUAUUUUAAAUAAAAACUAAAAAGUUAGGUCAAGGUGUAGUCAACAUUAAAGUUUUCAAUGGGUUACUUUAAAUAAAUUUAAGGAUUAAAAUAUGAAAAUAUUUUUCGAAAAAGGAUUUAAAAGUAAUAAUUAAAUAUUAUUUAAUUAUG